UUUGAAAAUUACAUGAUAAAAACAUCCGCAGAAGUGCUAUGUGCGGUCCCCGGCACCUGGAAGGGUCUGUGGAUCCUGCCUGGAUGGAUGGAAAACAUUGAGUUUGGGAGUCAGAGAAUUUAUAGGACAAGCCCUCCGCCCAUCCAAAUUCAAUACUGAAACUUUAAUCACCAACACGUCAGAAUAUGACUCUAUUUGAAAAUGGAAUCUUUUAAAAGAGGUAACCACAGUUAGGUCUGGGUGGGCGCCAAUGCAAGACAACUGUUAUCCUUAGAAGAAAUGAAAGGUAGGACCAAGAAAGCACAGUAAAGGACCUUGAGAAGAUGGUCCUCUUCAGGCCAGGGGGAACGUCCUCAGAACAAACCAAUCUGCUGGCAUCUUGACCUUGAUCAUUUAAUUGUCACAACUGAGAGAAGUCAAUUUCUGUCAUUUAAGUGAUUCAAUUGGUGGCAGCUCUCACAAACCAAUGCCAAGGACCUGGGUCCAAGCAUCUAAAUGACCACACGUGUUAUCCUUGUCUCAGAUGUCAGAUGGUGCUAACGGCGGGUGUUUUGCAUAUGGUGGCAAGACCUGUGGGGUUGGCUUGGGUGGGUUAAUAGGCUAGUUUACAGAAGUGUGCCUCUAGAGGUGGGGUUGGGGCUCAGCCAAUGAACCAUCUGUGGUAAAGGCAAUGAUAUAAGCCCCUGUUUGGGUCAAUGGAUGAUAGAUGUGUGGAUUCUGUUGUGCAAGUUAAGGGUCCAACCAAGCAGAGCCUCUAACUCAGCACCAGACAGUAUUCCAGAGAAAGGAGCUUUAUUAAAUUAUAAUUUUAUAAUACAUUCCUGUUAGCCCAGUGGUUCUCAACCUUCCUAAUGCUGUGACCCUUUAAUACAGUUCCUCACCUUGUAGUGACUCACAACCAUAAACUUAUUUUUUUUGCUACUUCAUAACUGUAAUUUUGCUACUGUUAAUUUACUAUAAUGUAAAUAUCGGAUAUGCAGGAUGUCUUAUAUGUGACCCCUGUGAAAGGGUCACUCGACUCCCAAAGGCAUUAGGACCCACAAAUUGAGAACUACUUCGUUAGAAGCACAAGGCAGGAAAAAUAGUUAUUACUUAGUAUCUAUAGUGACAGACCUCCAGGAUCACUGCAGAUACUAAAAUCCAGAGAUAUCCAAGCAUCUUAUGCAAAAUAAAUAACUUACCUAUCUACUCUGUAAACUGUCAUCUCUCGAUUCCUUACACUACCCAAAACAGUGCCAGGAUUUGUAAACAGUUGUCCUGUUGUACCGCUUAGGGAAUGGCAAGAAUAAAAGUAUAUGUCUGGAACAGAUGCAAUUUUUAAAACAUAUUUUGCCUUUGAGGUUGAGUAAUUCCACAGAUGCAGGACUCGUGGAUAUGUAUGGAAGCUGGCUAUGCUGAUCCCUGGUCAGUGAGUUGCAACAGCCCGAAACAUCUGCUAACCAGGAAAGCUUCAGAGGCCGCAUUGGCAGCUCGGUUUUCCUGUUGGGUGAUCUUUGCCACAACUACACAUCAUGCCUGAGCCCCUCAGUCAAGACACUCAUCUGUCCCCCUACCGUGCUGACAACUGAAUAAUGUGUCCCAUGCUAAAUAUUAUCCCAUAAUCUUGAGGUGUAGCUGUUUUUAGGGGUCCAGACUUAUUUUAGGAUGAGGCUUUUCUUUUUUUUUCUUUUUUCUUCCUUCCUUCCUUUCUUUCUUUCUUUCUUUCUUUCUUUCUUUCUUUCUUUCUUUCUUUUCUUUUUCUUUUUUUUUUUUGCCCCGAACUGAUUUCCAUCCGUGUUUUCUGCUGGUUGUAGCAUGGGACAGAGUCACUGUGACAUGAGGAGGAGGAGCGGGUCAGGGGGUGGGGAGUACAGACCAGUGGCUGGGACCAACGCUGUGUUUACAUUCCUCUGAGAAAGCCCCGAUACUGCUGGCCAGAUCAAAAGUAGGAUCAUGAAUUUUGUUGACAUCGGAGAUUCAGAACAAACAGGAAGUUUAGAGCCAGAGAGAAAUUCCUGAUGAAGUUUGAGCUAGGAAUAUGCGUUCAGAGACAAAAUAGUCAGAGACUCUGUGAUCACCUACAUUUAUUCGAGAUCUGGUACAUAACACAGAACAGAGAGGGCCCUGUGUCAGAGUUCAAAACAAAACAAAUAAACAAACAGCUCACACUGCACACGCGAAAUCUUUAACCAUGGGUUCUCGGUCUGUGGAAUCAGGGUGAUAACUCCCCCACAGAGAUACUGUGAGGAUCACGUGAGUUCAUACAUGGGAAAUGUUAUGGUCCUGCCGGGUACAGAGCACACACUCACAUGAGUGGCUAAGUGUCCAGUUAGUAGAAUUCUCUGUAGAAGUGGAGAAGUGGACUGCCAGUUGGCAGACUG
rnacentral:lncRNA from 1 species